CCUACGGGAGGCAGCAGUGGGGAAUAUUGGACAAUGGGCGAAAGCCUGAUCCAGCCAUGCCGCGUGUGUGAAGAAGGCCUUCGGGUUGUAAAGCACUUUCAGUGGGGAAGAAAGCCUUGGGGCUAAUACCCUCGAGGAAGGACAUCACCCACAGAAGAAGCACCGGCUAACUCCGUGCCAGCAGCCGCGGUAAUACGGAGGUGCGAGCGUUAAUCGGAAUUACUGGGCGUAAAGCGCGCGUAGGCGGUCUGAUAAGCCGGUUGUGAAAGCCCCGGGCUCAACCUGGGAACGGCAUCCGGAACUGUCAGGCUAGAGUGCAGGAGAGGAAGGUAGAAUUCCCGGUGUAGCGGUGAAAUGCGUAGAGAUCGGGAGGAAUACCAGUGGCGAAGGCGGCCUUCUGGACUGACACUGACGCUGAGGUGCGAAAGCGUGGGUAGCAAACAGGAUUAGAUACCCCAGUAGUC
rnacentral:rRNA from 1 species